GACGUAGGGGGCCAGCGUUGUUCGGAAUUACUGGGUGUAAAGGGUUCGUAGGCGGUGCGGCAAGUUGGGAGUGAAAUCUCUGGGCUUAACCCAGAGGCUGCUUCCAAAACUGCUGUGCUUGAGUGUGGGAGAGGCGCGUGGAAUUGCAGGUGUAGCGGUGAAAUGCGUAGAUAUCUGCAGGAACACCCGUGGCGAAAGCGGCGCGCUGGACCACUACCGACGCUGAGGAACGAAAGCUAGGGGAGCAAACAGG
rnacentral:rRNA from 1 species